rnacentral:rRNA from 1 species
AGCGAACGCUGGCGGCAGGCCUAACACAUGCAAGUCGAACGAACUCUUCGGAGUUAGUGGCGGACGGGUGAGUAACACGUGGGAACGUGCCUUUUGGUUCGGAAUAACUCAGGGAAACUUGUGCUAAUACCGAAUGUGCCCUUCGGGGGAAAGAUUUAUCGCCAUUAGAGCGGCCCGCGUCUGAUUAGCUAGUUGGUGAGGUAACGGCUCACCAAGGCGACGAUCAGUAGCUGGUCUGAGAGGAUGACCAGCCACACUGGGACUGAGACACGGCCCAGACUCCUACGGGAGGCAGCAGUGGGGAAUCUUGCGCAAUGGGCGAAAGCCUGACGCAGCCAUGCCGCGUGAAUGAUGUAGGUCUUAGGAUUGUAAAAUUCUUUCACCGGGGACGAUAAUGACGGUACCCGGAGAAGAAGCCCCGGCUAACUUCGUG